rnacentral:pre_miRNA from 1 species
ACAACCCUAGGAAGGGGUGCCAUUCACAUGGACUAUAAUUGAAUGGCGCCACUAGGGUUGUGA